rnacentral:rRNA from 1 species
AUGCAUUGGAAGAAGUGGAUUGAUAUAGCAGUACCAAAGAGUGAAGGUGGCAUGGGUUUUAGAGACAUUCAACUCUUCAACCAAGCGAUGCUGGCGAAACAAGGUUGGAGGUUAUUAACAAAUCCAGAUUCCUUGUGUGCAAGAGUACUCAAGGGAAAAUACUUCCAUGACUGCAAUUUUAUGGAAGCAAGGAAAAAACGUAAUUCCUCUCAUACAUGGCGAGCCAUUUUGCAUGGCAGGGAGGCACUUCGUAAGGAAAUAAUAAAAAGAGUGGGUGAUGGAAGUUUGAUAAGAAUUUGGGACGAUCUGUGGGUACCGGAAAGCUAUAGCAAACAGCCAAUUGUCAGACUUCCAACCGCUUCAGUAACACUUGUAGAGGAGCUAAUGGACUUGGACACAGGGAAAUGGGACAUGGAGAAGCUGGCUGAAAACUUUGUGGAACCGAAUGUGUCCAUGAUUGCGAGGAUUCCUCUUGGUAGGGCUUAUGAGGAUUUUUGGGCGUGGCACCCAGAUAGAUUGGGUAAUUUCUCGGUGAGAUCA